CUUUACUCUCGGCGCAGCGACGGGAGAGCGGGCAGGAGGCCGGGAAACCUCCCCGAGGCAGGGGCACAGGGUCCCCGGGAAGCGGCUGAAUGCGGGAGGAGGCGCCAAACCAAAGCCAGGCCGCUCCCAGGAGCGCGACAGAGACCCCGUCUGUUACCAUGCGAUAGGAAGAACUCUCACAGAAUGGGACAGCCCGAGCUCGCUGCUCGGGGUAGGGACAGAGAGAGGCGGGAUCGGCGCUGCGGCCGCGCACGGACAUUCGGCUCCCAGCCACAGCAGCGCCAUCUCUGCAGCCGUGUCAGCAGCGAUCUUCCUGCUGGUACCACCAAAAUCACACCCUACCCGAAAGCACAGUGCAAGGUGACUGCCAACAGUGAAAUAGCUAAUGUUGAUUGAAAGUACUUGUAAAAAUAGCUAUAACAUCUGUACGAUAACACUGGAAAAAAAGCAGACAAAUAACACCCAAAGCACAAGGAAGAAUAUACCACAGACCCUUCAGCUAACAGCAACUGUCAAACCACAGACCAGGGGGCCUUGUGAAGAAAUAAAAUACAAGAUUCUCAAAA